rnacentral:rRNA from 2 species
UUUUAUGAUUUUAUCAUUAAUUUAUAAAUAACUUUGAAUUUAUUAAACCGCCAUAAAAUCAAGUAAAUCUCCUUAGACAAAUUAUUAACUAUAAGGUGCUUAUUUAAAUGAAUAAAAUAUUAAAACAUAUAGCAACAAUAUUUUUAUAAAAAAUUAUUUUAAUUACAAAUUUUUAAUAGUACUUUUUAAUUUAGUCUAGUUCUACGUCUAAUAUUAAUUCUUAUAUUACCUAAUGUUAUUUAAAUAAAUUUACUUAAAAUAAAACAUUAUAAAUUAACUUCCACCUAAAUUUACAUUAAAAUAAAUUAAAUUAUUUUACUAAUUUUUAAUUUUAUACA